AGCACCGGUAAUGGUACUCCUGGUUUACCAGGAUGGGGUUCGAUGCCCUGCUGCU
rnacentral:snRNA from 1 species